CUUGUGGCUAGGGGUGAAAGGCCAAUCAAACUCGGAGAUAGCUGGUUCUCCGCGAAAUCUAUUUAGGUAGAGCGUCGACCGAAUACCCUCGGGGGUAGAGCACUGGAUGGGCUAUGGGGACUCACCGUCUUACUGAUCCUAACCAAACUCCGAAUACCGAGGAGUACUAGUCGGCAGACACACGGCGGGUGCUAACGUCCGUCGUGAAGAGGGCAACAACCCUGACCUCCAGCUAAGGUCCCCAAGUCAUGGCUAAGUGGGAAAGGAUGUGAGGAUCCCAAAAACAACCAGGAUGUUGGCUUAGAAGCAGCCAUCAUUUAAAGAAAGCGUAACAGCUCACUGGUCUAAUUAAGGGUCUUUGCGCCGAAAAUGUAACGGGGCUAAAGCCAUGCACCGAAGCUGAGGAUACGUCGCAAGACGUGUGGUAGCGGAGCGUUCCGUAAGCCUGUGAAGGGAUACCUGUGAGGGGUCCUGGAGGUAUCGGAAGUGCGAAUGUUGACAUGAGUAACGAUAAAGAGGGUGAGAGACCCUCUCGCCGAAAGACCAAGGGUUCCUGCUUAAAGUUAAUCUGAGCAGGGUUAGCCGGCCCCUAAGACGAGGCGGACACGCGUAGUCGAUGGGAACCACGUUAAUAUUCGUGGGCCUGGUGGUAGUGACGGAUUGCUUAACUUGUACGCUCUUAUUGGAUUGGGUGUGCAGGGACGCGGUUCCAGGAAAUAGCUCCACCGUAUAGACCGUACCCGAAACCGACACAGGUGGUCAGGUAGAGUAUACCAAGGCGCUUGAGAGAACUAUGUUGAAGGAACUCGGCAAAUUGCACGCGUAACUUCGGAAGAAGCGUGACCCCAUUAUACGCAAGUAUGAUGGGGUGGCACAGACCAGGGGGUAGCGACUGUUUAUCAAAAACACAGGGCUCUGCGAAGUCGCAAGACGACGUAUAGGGUCUGACGCCUGCCCGGUGCUGGAAGGUUAAGAGGAGAGGUGCAAGCUUUGAAGAAGCCCCAGUAAACGGCGGCCGUAACUAUAACGGUCCUAAGGUAGCGAAAUUCCUUGUCGGGUAAGUUCCGACCUGCACGAAUGGUGUAACGACUUCCCCGCUGUCUCCAACAUAGACUCAGUGAAAUUGAAUUCCCCGUGAAGAUGCGGGGUUCCUGCGGUUAGACGGAAAGACCCCGUGCACCUUUACUAUAGCUUUACACUGGCAUUCGUGUCGGCAUGUGUAGGAUAGGUGGUAGG
rnacentral:ncRNA from 1 species